GAUGAACGCUGGCGGCGUGCCUAAUACAUGCAAGUCGAGCGAACGGACGAGAAGCUUGCUUCUCUGAUGUUAGCGGCGGACGGGUGAGUAACACGUGGAUAACCUACCUAUAAGACUGGGAUAACUUCGGGAAACCGGAGCUAAUACCGGAUGAUAUUUUGAACCGCAUGGUUCAAAAGUGAAAGACGGUCUUGCUGUCACUUAUAGAUGGAUCCGCGCUGCACUAGCUAGUUGGUAAGGUAACGGCUUACCAAGGCAACGAUGCAUAGCCGACCUGAGAGGGUGAUCGGCCACACUGGAACUGAGACACGGUCCAGACUCCUACGGGAGGCAGCAGUAGGGAAUCUUCCGCAAUGGGCGAAAGCCUGACAGAGCAACGCCGCGUGAGUGAUGAAGGUCUUCGGAUCGUAAAACUCUGUUAUUAGGGAAGAACAUAUGUGUAAGUAACUGUGCACAUCUUGACGGUACCUAAUCAGAAAGCCACGGCUAACUACGUG
rnacentral:rRNA from 1 species